GGGGAUCUAGUUCAGUGGUAGAGCACUUGCCUAGCACCCAAGAGGUUCUAGGUUCAAUUCCUUGUAUCACAA
rnacentral:tRNA from 1 species